AUGCUGAUGAGGUAACAUUAUAGACACUACCAUACCUGCUAUGCUGAUGAGGUAACAGUAUAGACACUACCAUACCUACUAUGCUGAUGGAUUAAAAUGAUACGCUCUACCAUAGAUACCAGUUAUUCUUGUGAGGUAACAUUAUAAUCAUUACCAAAUGCCUGCUAUGCUAAUGAGGCAACAUUAUCAACACUAGCCUAUAAAUACCGGUUGUCUUUAUGAGGUAACGUUAUAGACACUACCAUAUGAAUAAAAGCGAUGUGAAUUAUAUGCGUUUAUGAAUAAAAAGUAACCCUAGACUAGAGUCUCUAAACUGUGUGUGUGUGUGUGUGUGUGUGUGUGUGUGUGUGUGUGUGUAAGCGAGAGGUGUGUAUAAGGAACCUAUGAGUCACUGUGAAAGAACCAGUGGUAUGGUGCCAUUCUACACUUCUAGAGAAUUGGGGAGGAAGGACUUGAGGAUGUCAUCUCUUCCCCGACCUCGUCAUGUGAUCUGGGAGACAGAGGAGCUGGUGGCCUACCUCCACCCCCAGCCCUGGACCCCAGGCACUACCAUCCUGGAGCCGAAGACCCCCAGGGGCCCAGAUGAGGAACCAAGCCCAGCUCAGGGCAGUCUCUUCAGGCUGGGUGAGGGAGCCUACCUGAGGUUGCUGCUGGGGGCCAGGGAGGUGGGGGCCCUGCUGUGUGAGAGGCUGGGGGUGAAGAGAUGUGCCCUGGUCUGCAGGCCCCACCCAGACAGUAACAGUCCACCCCAGAUCCGGGUGCUGCCGCUACACGGCCUUGACAGCGAGUGGCGCCCCCACCUGGCGGGAGAUGAGCACUACACCCACCACGACCCCGGCUACGUCACCUCUAAAAGCGGCCCUCGCUGGACUGACACGUCCCUCCAGGAGAUCCAGGCCGAGAUCCGGGCCCAGCUCCCUUCCCCCAAUGCCCUACCAAACCUCACCUUCCUGGGGGAAGACCCAUCGCACCCCAGCCUCUUCUCCCGGAUCGUCCGUGGAGAGGAGCAGCAGUGGAGGGUGUGGGAGGAUGAGGGACACGUGGCAUUCCUCACCCCCUUUCCCAACGCCCCCGGUCUCACCGUACUGGUCCCCCGUCGACCGCUGACCUCGGAUAUAUUUCGACUUGAAGAGGCAGAUUAUACGAGUUUGGUACUGGCAACCCAGAAGGUGGCCAGGGUUUUGGAAGAGGGUCUUGGAGCGUGGGGGGUGGGGUUGAUAUUCGAGGGGUUUGAGAUUGACUAUGCUCAUGCUAAAUUGAUACCUCUGCUCUCUCCGCCCUCCUCUCACCAGGUUGAUGGGGGCUCCACCACCACCACUGGCUCUCUACCACCUCAGGCCCAGUUUAGUGCCACCUAUCCUGGGUUUGUGACCUCUGAGGAUGGCCCUGAGGCCAGCCUGGAGUGUUUGAAGGAGUUACAGGCCAAAAUCACACAGUAAUGAUGAUGUAAUGUAUUGACAUGUUAUGAAAUAUGUAUGUAAUUGCAUAUUAUGAAGGACCUGAAACUGGGUGAUUAUAGUAUUGAUGUAUUGCACUUGACUACAUACAUUCCUAUUGGUUGACUUGGUAAUGUGAGAGCUUUUUUUCAAUAUGAAGCCUGUUGCUUCAUGUACAUACUGAUUUGGUACCAAAUUCUGUAGAUGUGACUGUUUCUGUCAUUUUAUUAUGAACUUGAAAUAGGACAAUCAAGAGCUUUAUUUGAUAAACAUGGUACUGUAAGGGUUUUAAAUAUAUCCUUUGAUAAGUACUUAACAGUAGCAUGGAAAUAUACAUGAUUGUUUGAUCAAAAUAAACAUGUGAUUUCUAUUAUGUUUUGUAAAGUGUAUUUUCAGAUGCUAUUUCUAAGAGCACAACAGGCUGAGAAAACGGAAAGAAAUGAACCGCCGUCUUUCAUUGUCAAAUGUUACAAUACAUAUGUCAUUACCCC
ensembl:lncRNA